rnacentral:rRNA from 1 species
GACGAACGCUGGCGGCGUGCUUAACACAUGCAAGUCGAACGGAAAGGCCCUGCUCUUGUGGGGUGCUCGAGUGGCGAACGGGUGUGUAACACGUGUGUAACCUGCCCUUGACUUUGGGAUAACUUCAGGAAACUGGGGCUAAUACCGGAUAGGAGCUCCUGCUGCAUGGGGGGGGGUGGAAAGUUUCGGCGGUUGGGGAUGGACUCGCGGCUUUUCAGCUUGUUGGUGGGGGUGGGGUUUACCAAGGCUUUGGCGGGUAGCCGGCCUGAGAGGGUGACCGGCCACAUUGGGACUGAGAUACGGCCCAGACUCCUACGGGAGGCAGCAUUGGGGAAUAUUGAACAAUGGGCGGAGGCCUGAUCAAGCAACGCCGCGUGCGGGAUGACGGCCUUCGGGUUGUAAACCGCUUUCGCCUGUGACGAAGCGUGAGUGACGGUAAUGGGUAAAGAAGCACCGGCUAACUACGUG